AGUAAAUAGAUACCCGGGUAGUCCACGCCGUAAACGAUGUCGACUUGGAGGUUGUGCCCUUGAGGCGUGGCUUCCGGAGCUAAACGCGUUAAAGUCGACCGCCUGGGGAGUACGGCCGCAAGGUUAAAACUCAAAUGAAUUGACGGGGGCCCGCACAAGCGGUGGAGCAUGUGGUUUAAUUCGAUGCAACGCGAAGAACCUUACCUACUCUUGACAUCCAGAGAACUUAGCAGAGAUGCUUUGGUGCCUUCGGGAACUCUGAGACAGGUGCUGCAUGGCUGUCGUCAGCUCGUGUUGUGAAAUGUUGGGUUAAGUCCCGCAACGAGCGCAACCCUUAUCCUUUGUUGCCAGCGGUCCGGCCGGGAACUCAAAGGAGACUGCCAGUGAUAAACCUGGAGGAAGGUGGGGAUGACGUCAAGUCAUCAUGGCCCUUACGAGUAGGGCUACACACGUGCUACAAUGGCGCAUACAAAGAGAAGCGACCUCGCGAGAGCAAGCGGACCUCAUAAAGUGCGUCGUAGUCCGG
rnacentral:rRNA from 1 species